CGUCGCUGCGUCUCUCUCCCGCAACCUUACAGAUUCGUUUUGAUUCCCAUCGAUCGGAGAGAGAGAGAAUAAUUCAAUAAGCGACCAUGUUGGUGUACACUGAUCUUCUCACCGGUAAGCUCAAUCAUUGUUUAUUUGAUUCACCAUCAUCGCUUCUAUAUUGUCGAUUGAGCUAUUCAUUGAUUUCGACUUGUUCUGCCUCGAAUUUGGGUUUGAGAUUAGAUCUGUAAUCGCAUCUUAAGUUUUUCGUCGCGAUUUGCAGCUGUAAUCAAUCCUGUUAGCGAUUUAGAUUAGGUUUCUCGUUAAUUUGUAAUUUUGUUAGUGAUGGGCAUAGUUAUUGAAUCUUAUGAUUAGAUCUGUGAUUGGUUAGUUUUUUUUAAUUUUUGAAUAGUUUAGAUUGGAUUUGGUAGAAAUUAUAUAUAAUAUGAAUCACUGGAUUGGUUUAAUUGGUUAUUGAUUCAGGUGAUGAGCUUCUCUCUGACUCUUUCCCGUACAAGGAGAUUGAGAAUGGUAUUCUUUGGGAAGUUGAAGGAAAGGUCUGUGCCAACCCUUUACUCAGUAUUCAUCACCUUUGUUCUGAUUUUUUUAUGUUGAUUUUUUUUUUUGGCUUUAUAUUUUAGUGGACUACUAAGGGAUGUGUAGAGGUUAACAUUGGUGCCAACCCAUCUGCUGAGGAAGGCGGUGAGGACGAGGGUGUUGACGACUCUGUUGAAAAGGUUGUUGACAUUGUCGACACCUUCAGGCUUCAGGAGCAGCCCACUUACGACAAGAAGGGUUUCAUCGCCUAUAUCAAGAAGUACAUCAAGCUUUUGACUCCCAAGCUCACCCCGGAACAGCAAGAAGAGUUCAAGAAGGGUAUUGAGGGAG
rnacentral:lncRNA from 1 species